GGGAGCUGGCGAGAGCGCAGCGGCGUUGCCCGGCUCCGACCGGAGGUGGGGAACUCGGCCCACCUCAGGCCGCGGGAAUUUCGUCUCACAUUUCCCGCCAGGCACCGUCCCUGUCGACACACACGGAAACCGAGGCUCUUGGAGGUUAAAUUACUUGACCAAGGUUACUCUGAAUUUUCCUGAAAAUCAACGUUACCUCCUUCCUUGAGAGCCGGUUUUGGAAAGCUCUCUGCAGAAGACUCUGUUCAUGAAAAGCUUGAGACCUUAGCUCUAGAGGAAUAGGGAGUAGUCAUUUACUCUGACCCAGUGCUCGCACAGUCCUGGACAGGUGAAUGGAGGAGCCAGGAAAAAGGAAGCAUUACUGACACUAAACAAGAAUCAGCUUCUCACCCUAUGCUAUCUACCUCACCUUGACAAAAAUAUUGUGAGCAGGGUAUGCAGUAAAGUCUCCAUCAACCAGAGCUCUGCAUGUCUACAAUGUGUUCCAGAUCUGCCCUCCUGAGCAACUGUACUUUCUUUAAAGUCCAUAUUGCUCUUCUGACUCCUCUCCUUUGCUCGCCUUUCCUCCUACUCUCCCAGCCCUUCCAAUAUCCUUCUGAUCUCUUCUCUUUUCUCUCAAUCACUGUCCCUCCCACUAACAUGGCUUGUUCUUGUGACUUGUUUUUAU